rnacentral:rRNA from 1 species
CAGCAGCCACGGUAAUACGAAAGGUCCAAGCGUUACUCGGAAUUACUGGGCGUAAAGCGCGCGUAGGCGGUUUUGUAUGUCGAUUGUGAAAGCCCCGGGCUCAACCUGGGAACAGCAGUCGAAACUGCAAGUCUUGAAUGUUGGAGAGGUUGGGGGAAUACCUAGUGGAGAAGUGAAAUUCGUAGAGAUUAGGUGGAACACCAGAGGCGAAGGCGCCUGACUGGCCAAACAUUGACGCUAAGGCGCGAAAGCGUGGGUAGCAAACAGGAUUAGAUACCCCUGUAGUCCCUGUCUCUUAUAC